rnacentral:rRNA from 1 species
GGUUAAGCGACUAAGCGUACACGGUGGAUGCCCUGGCAGUCAGAGGCGAUGAAGGACGUGCUAAUCUGCGAAAAGCGUCGGUAAGGUGAUAUGAACCGUUAUAACCGGCGAUGUCCGAAUGGGGAAACCCAGUGCAAUUCGUUGCACUAUCGUUAACUGAAUACAUAGGUUAACGAGGCGAACCGGGGGAACUGAAACAUCUAAGUACCCCGAGGAAAAGAAAUCAACCGAGAUUCCCCCAGUAGCGGCGAGCGAACGGGGAGCAGCCCAGAGUCUGAAUCAGCUUGUGUGUUAGUGGAACGGUCUGGAAAGUCCGACGGUACAGGGUGAUAGUCCCGUACACCAAAAUGCACAGGCUGUGAACUCGAAGAGUAGGGCGGGACACGUGGUAUCCUGUCUGAAUAUGGGGGGACCAUCCUCCAAGGCUAAAUACUCCUGACUGACCGAUAGUGAACCAGUACCGUGAGGGAAAGGCGAAAAGAACCCCGGCGAGGGGAGUGAAAAAGAACCUGAAACCGUGUACGUACAAGCAGUGGGAGCACCUUCGGGUGUGACUGCGUACCUUUUGUAUAAUGGGUCAGCGACUUAUAUUCUGUAGCAAGGUUAACCGUAUAGGGGAGCCGCAGGGAAACCGAGUCUUAACUGGGCGUUAAGUUGCAGGGUAUAGACCCGAAACCCGGUGAUCUAGCCAUGGGCAGGUUGAAGGUUGGGUAACACUAACUGGAGGACCGAACCGACUAAUGUUGAAAAAUUAGCGGAUGACUUGUGGCUGGGGGUGAAAGGCCAAUCAAACCGGGAGAUAGCUGGUUCUCCCCGAAAGCUAUUUAGGUAGCGCCUCGUGAAUUCAUCUUCGGGGGUAGAGCACUGUUUCGGCUAGGGGGUCAUCCCGACUUACCAACCCGAUGCAAACUACGAAUACCGAAGAAUGUUAUCACGGGAGACACACGGCGGGUGCUAACGUCCGUCGUGAAGAGGGAAACAACCCAGACCGCCAGCUAAGGUCCCAAAGUCAUGGUUAAGUGGGAAACGAUGUGGGAAGGCACAGACAGCCAGGAUGUUGGCUUAGAAGCAGCCAUCAUUUAAAGAAAGCGUAAUAGCUCACUGGUCGAGUCGGCCUGCGCGGAAGAUGUAACGGGGCUAAACCAUGCACCGAAGCUGCGGCAGCGACACUAUGUGUUGUUGGGUAGGGGAGCGUUCUGUAAGCCUGCGAAGGUGACCUGUGAGGGUUGCUGGAGGUAUCAGAAGUGCGAAUGCUGACAUAAGUAACGAUAAAGCGGGUGAAAAGCCCGCUCGCCGGAAGACCAAGGGUUCCUGUCCAACGUUAAUCGGGGCAGGGUGAGUCGACCCCUAAGGCGAGGCCGAAAGGCGUAGUCGAUGGGAAACAGGUUAAUAUUCCUGUACUUGGUGUUACUGCGAAGGGGGGACGGAGAAGGCUAUGUUAGCCGGGCGACGGUUGUCCCGGUUUAAGCAUGUAGGCUGGUUAUCCAGGCAAAUCCGGAUAAUCAAGGCUGAGGUGUGAUGACGAGGCACUACGGUGCUGAAGUAACAAAUGCCCUGCUUCCAGGAAAAGCCUCUAAGCAUCAGGUAACAUCAAAUCGUACCCCAAACCGACACAGGUGGUCAGGUAGAGAAUACCAAGGCGCUUGAGAGAACUCGGGUGAAGGAACUAGGCAAAAUGGUGCCGUAACUUCGGGAGAAGGCACGCUGGUGUGUAGGUGAAGCCCCUGCGGGUGGAGCUGAGACCAGUCGAAGAUACCAGCUGGCUGCAACUGUUUAUUAAAAACACAGCACUGUGCAAACACGAAAGUGGACGUAUACGGUGUGACGCCUGCCCGGUGCCGGAAGGUUAAUUGAUGGGGUUAUCCGUAAGGAGAAGCUCUUGAUCGAAGCCCCGGUAAACGGCGGCCGUAACUAUAACGGUCCUAAGGUAGCGAAAUUCCUUGUCGGGUAAGUUCCGACCUGCACGAAUGGCGUAAUGAUGGCCAGGCUGUCUCCACCCGAGACUCAGUGAAAUUGAACUCGCUGUGAAGAUGCAGUGUACCCGCGGCAAGACGGAAAGACCCCGUGAACCUUUACUAUAGCUUGACACUGAACAUUGAGCCUUGAUGUGUAGGAUAGGUGGGAGGCUUUGAAGCGUGGACGCCAGUCUGCGUGGAGCCAACCUUGAAAUACCACCCUUUAAUGUUUGAUGUUCUAACGUUGGCCCCUUACCGGGGUUGCGGACAGUGUCUGGUGGGUAGUUUGACUGGGGCGGUCUCCUCCCAAAGCGUAACGGAGGAGCACGAAGGUUAGCUAAUCCUGGUCGGACAUCAGGAGGUUAGUGCAAUGGCAUAAGCUAGCUUGACUGCGAGCGUGACGGCGCGAGCAGGUGCGAAAGCAGGUCAUAGUGAUCCGGUGGUUCUGAAUGGAAGGGCCAUCGCUCAACGGAUAAAAGGUACUCCGGGGAUAACAGGCUGAUACCGCCCAAGAGUUCAUAUCGACGGCGGUGUUUGGCACCUCGAUGUCGGCUCAUCACAUCCUGGGGCUGAAGUAGGUCCCAAGGGUAUGGCUGUUCGCCAUUUAAAGUGGUACGCGAGCUGGGUUUAGAACGUCGUGAGACAGUUCGGUCCCUAUCUGCCGUGGGCGCUGGAGAAUUGAGGGGGGCUGCUCCUAGUACGAGAGGACCGGAGUGGACGCAUCACUGGUGUUCGGGUUGUCAUGCCAAUGGCACUGCCCGGUAGCUAAAUGCGGAAGAGAUAAGUGCUGAAAGCAUCUAAGCACGAAACUUGCCCCGAGAUGAGUUCUCCCUGAGACUUUAAGUCUCCUGAAGGAACGUUAAAGACGAUGACGUUGAUAGGCCGGGUGUGUAAGCGCAGCGAUGCGUUGAGCUAACCGGUACUAAUGAACCGUGAGGCUUAACCUU